GGCAGGCCAUGAGAAGCAUACACAACCUGGGUGCAAGUAACUUGUCAGAGCAAUAAACUGCCACCACAGUUUGUCAGUCCUUGGCCAGUCUGUUGAGAAGCUAGACAAGAUGCAGCACUUUCUGCAGCUUCUGCGAAGUGCCACAUCCACAGGCUGGUUUAGCAAAGGCCACUGCUCUGCGUCACUCUCCCAUUGAGCCCACAUGAAAGGCAGGAGUCUGGGCAGAAGCAGAGACAAGCUGGGAGCUUUCGCACAUCUCAUAAGCUGCUUCGAGCCUGUGCCUUUGCAAAGUGGAAAAAGGAAUUGAAGAAUGAAAAAAUAAAUAUUAAAGCACGUAAGAAUUAAAUAUCACCUAUUCAAAUAGCAAUUAUGCCGUUGAAAACAAGAUCACCACACCUGUACAAGAAAAGACAACCAAGCCCACAACAUCUGUUUGGAUCCACCUGCCAAGCACCUGUUUUGCUGUUUCAAUGCCAUUUGAUUGCUGGAGAUGUAGAGGCUCUUGUGAGGUUUCUUGCGCAGUUGUAUGCUUUGUGCUGGUUGAAGAUGGCUACAGACUCAGGUCCUUAUCUGAAGGGCAGUUUUCCACCUUGAGAACUGUAGUAUAAAACAGCCCAUGCUUCUCACCAUGGAGAAUUCAGUGGCUGCUUGGGAUCAUCUCCCAAAGAUGAGAAAGUUGUGGUAGUCCAAACUGAGAGAAGCAGAUGAGCUUGUAGCAUUCUCUCUGUUUCUUCCAAGAGGCUGCUGUGGCCUGGAUCUCAUCUUGUCUUUUAGUAACAUCUUCCAGAUUUGUUUUAAACUGAUUAGACACUGCUGAAGAAUCAGCUU